GUUGCUUCUUGGCCUUUUGGGUAAGAUCAAGUGUAGUAUCUGUUAUCAGUUUAAUAUAUUUGCAUUUAUAAUAUAGCAUAUUAAAGCCUUUUUAACACAUU
ensembl:snRNA U2 U2 spliceosomal RNA